UGCUAUUUGGCACUGCUCAUGAAUCUGCUUUUGCAGCUUGCCCAACUGGUUUGUAGUUUCUAGUGGCCAGAGAUGGCCUAGUUGAACCAGGAGGUGAGAAAAGAAAACAUCAGUAUACACGAAGGAUGAGAUUUUGGGGAACUGGGUCUCCAAAUCCUUUCAGCAGCUUUGAAAAGGGCCUCUGCCUCCUUCAGCGCACAGGAUGGAUGGAGCUCAAUAAAUAGAUUAUGUCGGUCUUUGUGGGAUUGGCUUCUGAAGUUGUUCGCAAGAGACUAGUGGGGACAGCGGGGACAUCUGUGAUCAAUGUUCUGCAACUCAGCCCCAAAUCAUGGGCUAUGGGAGCCUCCCUAAAGGACACGUGUCAAGUUCACUGGGUUCAAAACAAGCCGAGUCUGCAGAACACUGUGUCUCCUAUCCGAAUGGCUUCAGAAAUUAAAAAAUAAAACCCCAAAGAGAUACCAUCAAUCAAGGGUGGUGCAUUUGUGGUUUCUAGUUAUUAUUUAUAGUAUGUGAUUUAUAGAUUAUGAGCAAAAUUCUUCUUGCUGAACAGCAGUGAGGAGCCUCUUAUCCUCAGUGAGGAUCUUUAUCAUAUAUUUUGUGCUUGUUCAACACAUGGCACUCCCAUUGACAUCAGUGGAAAUCUCAGCUACAGAAUCAGGAUCAGCAAAGUGAAAUCUGUCUUC